UUUUAAUAUUGACGACCAUUAAGAUAUUUAUCUUUUUAAAAGUUAAAAAAACAAAAGACAAAAGCAGUAACAUGCACACUGUAAAAAAGUGUAAAUACAGCUAUACGAAAAUUAAAAAACAACAGAUACACCAAAAAAAAAAAAAAAAACCCAACAAAAAACCAAGCUGUACAAAAAUUAAAAGCGUAUUCCACCAUUCAGCCAUCCAGAGAUUAUAUAAUAACACUUGAGCAGGCAUCCUUCUGCAUCUCAUUCCACACAUACAGGUACUUCUUUAUCAAAGUGAGAUCACACUUUACAUAUUGCUUUGUAACAUUUUUUUCAGUUAAUCUUUACCUUCCAAGAUAUUAUGUUUUCAUCUCAUCUAAUACUCAGUCUAGAUUCCAAUCUUCUCAGGUGUCUCAAAAAUGUCCGUUGCAGUUUGUCUGCCUAAAUGAGGGCUCAAUCUAGAAACAAGUAUUGAUUCUGAUUACGUAUCUUACAUCUCUUUUAAUCUAAAACAGUCCAUUUUCUCAUGAAACCAAUUUGAAGAAAGGCUGGGGCAGCUGUCCCACAGAACAUCACAUCUUGUAAAUUUUUGUUGAUUUAUGGUGUCCUUUACAUGAUCACAUUAUCCUGUAACUACAAGCUAGAAAUUUGACCUAACAGCUUGAUAAUUUUAAGGUACACAUUUGGCGAGAACACAUCAUAGGUGAUUAGUAUAUUUCAUUUUGUAUCAGAUCGAGAGCUAUAUAAGAUAUGAAUGUUUCCCUAUCAAUGAUGUGAAAAAUUGACCACCAGAUUAUGAUGAUAACAGAUCUUUUUUCUUUUUUCCCCAAUUUCAUUUGUGAAAAGUUUUAAAGCAUAGAAAAGUUGACUAGUUCAGUGAACUCUUGGGUGUCCACCACCUUAACAAUUUGUUAAUAUUUUUCUAACUUUAUCUACACAUGUAUAAAAUAUUUCCUUCUUGCUUAACCAUUUGAAACUAAGUUGGAAACAUCAAAAAAUUCACCCUUAAAUAUUUUAUAAUGUAUCACCUAAACAUAACGACAUUCCCUCUAACAGCCAUAUCAUUUUGACCCUUUGUAAUUUAGCAAUUAUUCCCUAAUACCAUUUAAUAUGUAGUUAAUAUCUAAAUCUCCUUAAUUGGCCCCCAAAGGUCUUUUACAGAUUUUUUUAAAACUAGUAUCCAGUCAAGAUCUACUCUUUGCUUUUGGCUAAAUUAUCUUAGUCUCUUUCAGACACUAGAAAGUUCUUCCCCAUUUCCACUUUUUUUUUGAGGGGGGGCUGCACCUGCUACAUGAAGAAGUUCCAGGGCCAGGGAAGUGCUGAGAAGAAUUUCCUGGUGGCUCAGUGGGUUAAGGACCUGGCAUUGUCCCUGCUGUAGCUCUGGUCACUGCAGUGGUGUGAGUUCAAUCCCUGGCCUGGGAACUUCUGCAUGCCAUAGGUGUGGCCAAAAACAAGGUGGUUUAUAAUUGUAUAUAUUUUUUAAAUUAAGAUUUAAUAACUGAGAAUUUUUCAGUUUUUGGAAACUAGUAAUUCAUCACAAAAACAUAACCAGGAAAUAUAACCUAAGGACUUUGGUAGAGUGACCAAUCAUUCCAUUUUGCCCAAGACUAAGGAGCCUCCCAGGAUGUAGGACUUUCAGAGAUAAAACCAGUAAUGAGUUGUCACCCUACUGUCUGGUCACCCUUCGAGGGCACUUAUUUAUGCUGAAGAAAAUAGUUAUAUAUAUGACUGGUUGAAAGUAUAACCCAGUUCUAACCAUUUUUAUUAUACUAAACAUAGGUAUCCCCUUUUGUGAAAGUUGACUUGAUGUCACUUUGCUUUUACAGAAGAUCUACAUUCAUAUAUGUUUUCACUAACCAAAAGAAAUACAAAGAGAUUUUUGCUUUUAUGAAAAAAGGCAAAAAGGGAAAAUAGAACUCAGCCUUUGUUUUGCCAAUUCAGAGGCAGUGUGCACACCAAGCUACAAGAAUAGCAGCACUAACAUCCUUCCUAGGAAAUUAUACUCAGCAUCCUAAAAUCAGGCCACCAUAGUUUUGAAUUGUAUCUGUAUCCGGGCCUUAUCUCAAUGUACUUUUUGCAUCUGUUACCAAGACGUGUACUAAGCUAACUAUGUCUAUACUUUACACCCUUUCAGCUUAUGAAAUUUCACAGGAAUGUUCUACAAUUGGAAAGCAUAGGAAACCAGUAUGUAUAUACUUACACUUUUUAAACUGUCUGAACUAUGCAUUAAUCAUGCAUUUAGAUACAGAAUACAGGCUAGGGAAAAUAUCACAACUAAAAUUCCAUGUCUUGGAGAUACUGCUAUGGUGCAGUAGGUUAAGAACUCAGCAUUGCUCCAGCUGUGGUGUAGGUCUCAGCUGCAGCUUGGGUUGGAUCCCUGGCCCAGGAACUUCCAUAUGUUGCAGGUGUGGCCAAAAUACAUAAAACAAAACAAAACAAAAUAGGAGUUCCUGUUGUGGAGCAGUGGAAAUGAAUCCAACUAGUAACCAUGAGGUGGCAGGUUUGAUCCCUGGCCUUGCUCAGUAGGUUAAGGAUCCGGCGUUGCCGUGAGCUGUGGUGUAGGUCGCAGAUGUGGCUCAGAUCUGGCAUUUCUGUGGCCCUGGCGUAGGCUGGUGGCUACAGCUCUGAUUCAACCCCUAGCCUGGGAACUUCUAUUUGUCCCUAGUGUGACCCUAAAAAGCAAUAAUAAUAAUAAUAAUAAAUUAAAAAAUAAAAUACAAUUCCACAUCUUACCUCUCAAAAAAUAAUAAGCAAUAUCUUACAUUAGAUAUUACUUAAUGCUAUAUCUCAACAUUACUUCUUCUAUUCUAUGACUUAAUGUUCCAUCACUGUUAAAAUCAUAUCCUAAAUCAAUAACCAUUCCAAUACAUUGAGCUCCACAGAAAUAGCACCAGGGCAAGUGAGAACCAGAUGGGCAAUUUAUGACUCUGUGACUCACAGAGCAAAAAAAAAAAACUAAAAAUAACUAAACAUGAGAAAGGAUAUUCUAAGAGACUGAGAAGUAUCAUCAUAUGCAUUCUUUGUACAAACUUGCCAGGAGGAGCACAAGUAGUACCCAGAUGCUUCAGUCACCUUCUCGGAGUUCUCUAAAAAGUGCUCAGAGAGAUGGAAGACAGUGUCAAUUAAAGAAAAAGAAAACUUCCAAGACAUAGCAAAGGCAGACAAGACCCUUAUAAAAGAGAAAUACAAAACUAUGGUCCUCCUAAAGAAACAAAAAAGAAAGUCAAGGACCCCACUGGACCCAAGAGGUAGCCUUCAGUCUUUUUCUUGUUCUGCCCUCAAAUCAAAGGAGAACAUCCCUGCCCACCCAUUGGCGUUGUGGAAGGAAGANAAAAAAAAAAAAAAAAAAAA
rnacentral:lncRNA from 1 species